AAGUGUUUGGUAUUUGUAGGAUAAUUAUCCCACGGCGAUAAAAACAUAUCUAGUUAUUUUAACAUUGAUACAUGUGCUGUAUUCGUGUAAUAAAUAUUAAAACAAAUCAUGAGAGGCGGUUGACUCUACGCUGCAUGCUUAUUUUUUAAAUGAAACUGUUAAUUAUUAAGAACACAUCAACAGGUGUUAUCUUUAUCGUGAAUUGGCAAUGUUUACUUUGAUUUGUAUUAUACAUCAAUGUUAUGACAAUAUAAUGGUAAAAACUUAACACGACGAAAAGACAAACAUUAAUAGCAAACUUUAAAACAAUAACAUAAGAUAAAAAAAAGUCGCAAUUAUUGAUAAGAGACGUUUUUUUUUUUCUUUGUCUGAAUAAUCUUUACAUGAAUAAAGAAUAUAUCGGAGGAAAUCGUGUAUUACAUGUCUUAAUUUAUUUUCAAUGCUGUUUUGAAAUCGUCUUAUCACUUUUUGUUUCCUUAGAUUUUAUGUUCGAAGAGACGACUAAAAAACUACCUUAUUACCUAUGUUAUAAGCAUUAUGAAAAAUAUUCAUCUUAAUAUUUUACUAUAUACAUGAUACACAUGAAUACAUAUUUGAAACUGAUUCAAUUUGCAUGAUUACAUUUAAACAGAUCAACAAUAACUAAUGAGUUACUCAUACGUCAAAUAGUUACCAACGUUUUGCAAAUUUAUUGAAAAAAAACUCUAUUUCAAUCUUGAAACAAAAGUGUUUUCCAUGUAGGUAAUUCAUAAGGGACAAGAACAUUUUACUUGUACAGGUAAAGUUUUGAUUCAGAAUGUUAUUUAAACACCUGAUUAAUCAAUAGAUAAAAUCAUUGCAGUUCUUUAGAUAACUAAUUACAGUGAACACCAGCCAUCGGUUUAUGACUGUAAUAUAUAGCCAACAUCCCAUGUUUUAUGACCCAUAAUAAACGGUCACCAUUUGAUGGUGACCAUACCAGAUGGUUGACAUCUAUCAGAGUAUGUCAGUUAGUGUACUCUACUUCGUUUACACUUCAAAAUACAAUUACGGCACACCGAUAGUGCAUGUCUUUAGGCACAAAGUAAGUUUCAUUAUAUUUUUCGUGUCCCAAGAUACAUUUUAGAGGGGCUGAACAUUUAGGAAUUAUUUUCGUGUUUCAGAAUAAAUAGGAAUUAGUAAAUAAUCAAUAUUUUGUCAAUGUUUGUGUUUAAUGUAACAAUAUUAUACGAAAAUAAAGUACACAACUAUAUUGACAAUGAUAUUAGCUUCAUCUCUCCACACAUUGCAAAUCAUAAUCACCACGUUUUGAAACAUCUGGUCGAACUAUCAUUUGAUUGUUCAUAAAAAGUGUUUUAACGUGCAAGAACAUAUAUGUGAAUACGCAAAUUUGAUAAAUCGGAGUGAGAUGAUAAUUAAUAUAGUGUACAGUUUUUUUCUUAAAUGACAAGGACAAUCUCAAAAUUAUUCAUAUGUGUAUAUGUUGUGGGUAGCGUAUUAGUAUCGUUGUAUAUCUUCAUUUCUGAAGACGUCACCUUUUGUGAACGCCACAUUACAGCUUUAUUGUUUUAGUUCAUUCGAGAAGCAGUUUAAUCUAGUUCAAACACAAUAUCCAUCAUAUAUACACACGUCCAAUAUGAUAUCUGGAAUACAAAUUUACAAUUUAACUUUAUAUUCCUAGGUAGUAAUUGUAUGUCUCUAAUCAUUGUUAAACUGCAUACAUUUAUGUAAAUUCAACGGUGCACAAAAACGAAUAUAUUUUUAAUUAGAAGUAAAUGUCUUUCGUCAUUUCUUUCAUGUUUCAAGGAAUAAACAGUACAAUUUAAGUCUUUGCAAUUCAGAAGGGAUUCUCGUAUUUUAGAAUGAUAUAAUUAUGUCAUACUUUACAUCUUUUUACCUUGUGGAGUAUAACCCUGGAGGUGUAUAUUACAUUGGAUUGAAGAGGGCUGAAUAUGUGGUAAUUGGCAAUACUGUAGCCUCCUGAUGUAACAGAUGCAGUUGGUGUUGGCAACUGUGGUACAGUGUUGGUGUUUUUUAUCCCCUACAAUUGUCCACAUGCAGACGAAACUCAGUUUUACCAUGUCUGGGAUCCAUACAAAGAGCAACACAUCACUCAGGUUGAGCAGAUACAGCGUUAGGCAGCCAGAUUUGUUUAUAACGAUUAUAAAGACAGAACACCUGGAGCAGUCUCUAACUUGAUAAAUUCUUAGGAAUGGGAAAGUUUACAAAUUAGAAGAAAAAAGGCUAGAUUAACUAUGCUAUAUAAAAUUAAUUGGGGGUAAGUUGAAGUUCCAAAGGACAAUUUAACAAAAUCUGAUAGACGUACUUAGGGGAAACAUAAAUUUAGGCAAAUAGCAACCAAUAAAGAUUUCUACUAAUUUUCAUUCUACCCUCACACUAUUUCUGAUUGGAAUUCACUACCUGAAGCAAUAGGUAUGUCUGACACCCUGGAAUCCUUCAAAAGUGGCAUAUCCACUCUAACAUUUGAAGGACCCACAACAUCAUAUUAAACUACCAUGCCACUGCAUAUAAUGUAUAUAUGUUAUUGUAAACUAUUUUUCUUUAUUAUAUUAAUUUUAAUUAAGUCCAUAUGUACAUAGCACACAAGUUCCGGGAAGUUUUACACUCCUACCUAGGAAUCUAUUCCCGUAUUUGGAAGAAGAAGAAGAGGAUAAAUGGAGAAAAUAGUGGCGAAACAUACUGCUGAUAGUGUUGGAAUGUUGUGCCUCGUCAACUAUGCAGCAAAACCUGUGUACCUACAACACAACACACAUGAAAAUAGAAAGACUUGUAUUUACACGUUCAAUAUAUGUAUUCAUUCCUAUUUGCUGUUGAUAUUAUUGUUUAUAUACGUAAUUUACACGGCAUAUACACUUUUACAUUAGUACAUUGUAUAUACAUGCAUGUUCUUAUGGUACAUUUUGUAAUCCUUGCAGAAACAUACACCGGUUAAAUAUGCGCAUAACUUCUAAGAUACUUAUUAUUGUUACUUUACAGAUGCAUGCAUUGAUACAAUAUUUUAUCACUAUUAAAGUAAGAACAAGAUAACGAUUAUUAUACUAAACAAAAAAAUUAAAUCUAAAAUAAUGAAGUAUUCUGACUUUAUCAUGUGUUAUUUAAGCAAGUGUGCCAGAAAAUAGUUGUAAAAAACAUUUUGAAAAGAUCAAAAUUUACACAUACAUGUCCAUUGUAAUUUCAAACUGUUAUAUAUACAUGAACAUGUAUUCAGUUGAUCUUAUCUUUGGAACAUACAUCAAACCAUUGGCAUCUCUUUUUUGUUCUGCACAAAGGAUGAGGCAACCUGCCAUGGAUAACGAGAAUAGUGGAUUUGAUGUGUAUAGUCAAUACUGCAAUGCAAAACAGCAUCUACAUAACAUGGGUUUUCCCCUACAAUAUUAAAAAUAAAUUAUAUUAAUGUGAUUCCUACAAUACUAAAAAUAAAAUCUGC